rnacentral:RNase_P_RNA from 1 species
GCGAGCCGGUGGGCGGCUACAGGACGUGUGACGUGGUCCUGAGGAAACUCCAUCCACAUGGCGGAAAAGCAUAGCAUCACUGAGAUGUCCGGGGAGACCUGUGACAACAGCGCAGAAACGAGGAACCCGAGUCCAUGGAUUGAGAUGCGUGAUGGCUAACGCCUGAGCAUUGUCAUGGGUUUACGGGGUGAAACGAUGGAGCUGUUGUUAUGCUGUGAAAGGAGACAUAGGCGCCUGUGAGCUUCCGUCCGAAGGCGCGGGUACUCCGAUAAGACGGAUGGCUGCCACGAACAGAAGAUGGGUUACGGCCGGCACAC